UACGGAGGGGGCUAGCGUUGUUCGGAAUUACUGGGCGUAAAGCGCGCGUAGGCGGCUUUUGUAAGUUAGAGGUGAAAGCCCAGGGCUCAACCCCUGGAAUUGCCUUUAAGACUGCAUCGCUUGAACAUCGGAGAGGUAAGUGGAAUUCCGAGUGUAGAGGUGAAAUUCGUAGAUAUUCGGAAGAACACCAGUGGCGAAGGCGACUUACUGGACGAUUGUUGACGCUGAGGUGCGAAAAGCGUGGGGAGCAAACAGG
rnacentral:rRNA from 1 species